rnacentral:rRNA from 1 species
UACGUAGGUGGCAAGCGUUGUCCGGAUUUACUGGGCGUAAAGAGCGCGCAGGCGGUCGUUCAAGUCGCGUGUGAAAGCCCCCGGCUCAACUGGGGAGGGUCACGCGAUACUGAUCGACUGGAGGGCAGGAGAGGGUAGUGGAAUUCCCGGUGUAGUGGUGAAAUGCGUAGAUAUUGGGAGGAACACCAGUGGCGAAGGCGGCUCACUGGACUGGUACUGACGCUGAGGCGCGAAAGCGUGGGGAGCAAACGGG